UACAGAGGGUGCAAGCGUUGCUCGGAUUUAUUGGGCGUAAAGAGCGUGUAGGCGGUUUGGUAGGUCCGCUGUGAAAACUCGAGGCUCAACCUCGAGACGCCGGUGGAAACCAUCAGACUAGAGUCCGGAAGAGGAGAGUGGAAUUCCUGGUGUAGCGGUGAAAUGCGCAGAUAUCAGGAAGAACACCCGUGGCUAAGGCGGCUCUCUAGUACGGUACUGACGCUGAGACGCGAAAGCGUGGGGAGCGAACAGG
rnacentral:rRNA from 1 species